rnacentral:rRNA from 1 species
GACGAACGCUGGCGGCGUGCUUAACACAUGCAAGUCGAACGGAAAGGCCCUGCUUUUGUGGGGUGCUCGAGUGGCGAACGGGUGAGUAACACGUGAGUAACCUGUCCUUGACUUUGGGAUAACUUCAGGAAACUGGGGCUAAUACCGGAUAGGAGCUCCUGCUGCAUGGUGGGGGUUGGAAAGUUUCGGCGGUUGGGGAUGGACUCGCGGCUUAUCAGCUUGUUGGUGGGGUAGUGGCUUACCAAGGCUUUGACGGGUAGCCGGCCUGAGAGGGUGACCGGCCACAUUGCGACUGAGAUACGGCCCAGACUCCUACGGGAGGCAGCAGUGGGGAAUAUUGCACAAUGGGCGGAAGCCUGAUGCAGCAACGCCGCGUGCGGGAUGACGUCCUUCGGGGGGUAAACCGCUUUCGCCGGUGACGAAGCGGGAGUGACGGUAAUGGGUAAAGAAGCACCGGCUAACUACGUG